CCUCCUUCCCGCGACCAGCGCAACCCUUUCCUAUUGCAAAUGAGGGUUCGAUUGUGGUUGUUAAUUUCUUUUGCUUUUCCUUUGUUUUUCUUUAAGAUUUUUCAGUUUUAUUGUUGAUUUCUUACUCCUUUUCUAUCAGGGAUCUACAAAUUUAAGUUCUUUGUUCAAGUAUUGUCUACCUCCCGCUGCUUUUGCGUCUCAGUGUUAGCCCCGAAACUCAGGUAAAAGAAGUGGGAGCUUGAAAACUUGAUUUUGUUCAAACAAUUGGGAUAGCCACAUAAGCCCCAAAAAUGGCUUCAGGAGAAGAAUCUUACAGGUAUAGCUUUCAGUCCAGAUUCUGGUUAUUGAAAGAUGAUUUCAUAUUUGAAAUGGUUUUUUUUUUAGGAUUUAUAGUUGUUUGAAAGAAGACAUCUAGCAAGAUGCGAAUUUCGUCUUAUUAAUUCCUGUAGGACAGAUCCCAACAUCCUCUAUGAAAGAAGUCGAGUCUGGAGCCUUAAAUGAAACCAUGUCUUUCGAAAUGGGAAUGGAAUACAACGCCCUAUCAUUAUCCAAUUCUUAUGCCAAAAAGUCCGACUUUCCUCCGAUGGCUUUGGCUUAGGCUAGAAUGGAAUACGCACUUAGAGAGACUGGAGUAGGUAAACGUAAACCUAUAAAAAUCCUCACUAGAUGAGGGCAACCAUAGUUGGUGCUCGACCGAACCCUUGACCCUAACCCUGGGAUGUGCCGGCUAUAUGCAUUAGUUGAUUUCUCAUUGAGAACACAGGAAUCAAUCCAUGGAGCUUUGCCCGGAGAAAAUAAAAUAUCAUGAAUCAAUCCAUUUAUGAUAUAGCCAUAGCAGUAGCAGUAAGAAAGUCAAUCUAUUUCC